CCUACGGGAGGCUGCAGUGGCGAAUAUUGGACAAUGGGCGAAAGCCUGAUCCAGCCAUGCCGCGUGUGUGAAGAAGGCCUUCGGGUUGUAAAGCACUUUCAGUGGGGAAGAAAGCCUUGGGGCUAAUACCCUCGAGGAAGGACAUCACCCACAGAAGAAGCACCGGCUAACUCCGUGCCAGCAGCCGCGGUAAUACGGAGGGUGCGAGCGUUAAUCGGAAUUACUGGGCGUAAAGCGCGCGUAGGCGGUCUGAUAAGCCGGUUGUGAAAGCCCCGGGCUCAACCUGGGAACGGCAUCCGGAACUGUCAGGCUAGAGUGCAGGAGAGGAAGGUAGAAUUCCCGGUGUAGCGGUGAAAUGCGUAGAGAUCGGGAGGAAUACCAGUGGCGAAGGCGGCCUUCUGGACUGACACUGACGCUGAGGUGCGAAAGCGUGGGUAGCAAACAGGAUUAGAUACCCGGGUAGUC
rnacentral:rRNA from 1 species